AUAGAUCUAAGAUUAUACCUGCCCAAUGUGUAAUUUAUUAAUGGCCGCGGUACCUUGACCGUGCUAAGGUAGCGCAAUCAGUUGGCUCUUAAUUGGGGUCAAGAAUGAAUGGAGUUACGGAAUUUAUCUGUCUCUUAAUUAAUUAUUUGAAAUUACUAUAUAGGUGAAAAAGCCUAUAAACGGAAAGAGGACGAGAAGACCCUUAGAGUUUGGCUUAUAAAUAGAGUUUAUUUAUCUUUUCUAUAAUAGUUUAGUUGGGGCAACAUAGGAGCAAAUAUAAGUGUUAAUCUCCUUAAUUUUACUAACCGAUAUUUUUAAAUUUGAAUAAAUUACCUUAGGGAUAACAGCAUAAUUUAAUAAAUAAGUUUGUGACCUCGAUGUUGGACUAGGAAACUUAAAGGCUAGCCGUCUUUAGGGAAAGUUCUGUUCGAACUAUAA
rnacentral:rRNA from 1 species